AUAAUUAGCACAGUCUUAACGAUGGAUGUCUUGGUUCCUACAGCGAUGAAGGCCGCAGCAAAAUGCGAUACGCAAUGAAAAUUGCAGUGACUGUGAAUCAUCAGAAUGCUGAAUGUAAACUACACCAAUUCCCUUCGGGGAAUAGUGGUACUCCUACAGAAAAUAAAAUAAUACUUUGCUCUCUAGGUUUCUUUUAAAUAUAAAAUAUGUUUUCAUAUUAUAUGUAUAAAAGAAAAGAGAAAUAGGAAUUUAUUCCAAACUAAAAAUUAAUUUUUAGUUAAGGUUUCUCGCUGAAUAAAAUUUAUUUUUCAUUCAUUUUCUAGAGUAACAAAAAAAGAAUUCUUUAUUCUUUUUAACAAAGUGUUUGAUUUGAUGUUAGGAGGGCAAAUCCGCCGAAUUUAAGCAUAUAAUUAAGCGGAAGAAAAGAAAAUAACUAUGAUUCCUUUAGUAACGGCGAGUGAACAAGGACCAGCUCAAACGGUUAAUCCUUCGUUUGGUGCAAAGCCUUUCGACGGAAAUUGUCGUUGAAUUAUUCCAUGAAUGCCUUUAAUUUGAGCAAAGUGAGCAGGAAUGCUUCCCCAUAGAGGGUGAAAGGCCCAUAGUUCGUUUUAAUUUAUUCAUUGGAAUUUUUCAUGCCGAGUCGUGUUCUUUGAGAUUGGAGCACUAAUACGUGUGAUACAUUUCACAUAAAGCUAAAUAUGUGUAGGAGACCGAUAGCAAACAAGUACCGUGAGGGAAAGAUGAAAUAGUACUCAGGAAUGAGCAAUUAAAUAGUACCUGAAAUCGUUAAGAUGGAACGGAUUAAGAGAGAAAACAAGUAAAGAGGGGAAUUUUUUAAUUUUUUUUGUUUUUAAUUCUCUUCUUUAUUAAAAGAAACAUCAGUGAUUAAUUUAAUUUCAAUAAAGCAAUCCCCUGAAAUUCAAAAUUUCUUUUAAUUUUGUUUUCACUUUCUCCCCGCACUAAUGUGGGGAAAACUGGCUUUAUUUCUUCAAUUAUUUUUUUUGCUGAGGAAUUUUAAAAUUAUUUGAAUUUUUCUUCUUAUAAUUUAAGUUGUUUCUAUAUAGUACUUUCUUAACCCACUCGUCUUGAAACACGGACCAAGGAGUCUAGCAAAUGUGCAAGUGUAUAUGAUUCUUUAAACAUUUCUCUUUUUAAUAUACGCAUAAUUAAUGUAAUAUGUUUCUUUAUUGUAGAUUUGUGGUGUUUAAUUUUUAUUAAAUCCCCACUUUGCAUACAAUACCGGUAAGCAAUUAUGCUUUAUUGAGUACGAGCAUAUUUGGUAGGACCCGAGAGGCUUUGAACUAAGCGUGAUGAGAUUGAAGUCAGACGAAAGUCUGAUGGAGGAUCGAGUUGAUACUGACGUGCAAAUCGUUCAUUUCAAUCACGUUUAGGGGCGAAAGACUAAUCGAAAAGCCUAUUAGCUGGUUAUUUUCGAAAGAUCUCUCAGGAUCGCUGGAGUUGAUUAAUAUAAUUUUACCAGGUAGAGAUAAUGAUUAGAGGAAUCAGGGAAAUCGUUUUCCUUGACCUAUUCUCAAACUCCCAAUAGGUAAAAAGGGCGAAAUAACUCAACUUGUAUUUCACUCAUAUUAAAUAAAAUAACUCCAAGUGGGCCAUUUUUGGUAAGCAGAACUGGCGAUGAGGGAUGCUCCUAACGCUUGGAUAAGGUGCCUAAAUAUUCGCUCAUGAGAUCCCAUAAAAGGUGUUGGUUCAUAAUGACAGUAGGACGGUGGUCAUGGAAGUCGAAAUCCGCUAAGGAGUGUGUAACAACUCACCUACCGAAUGAACUAGCCCUGAAAAUGGAUGGCGCUAAAGCGAAUUACCGAUACCAAGCCAUAAAAAGAACAGAAAAAAUUUAUUUUUUUUUUAGAAUCUUUUUAUGAGUAGAAAAUCGUGGGGUUUGUGUUGAAGCGAAAUACGUGAGUUUUCGUGGAACAUCUCCCUAGUGCAGAUCUUGGUGGAAGUAGCAACUAUUCAAAUGAGAACUUUGAAGACUGAAGUGGAGAAGGGUUUCUUGUCAACUGUGAUUGAACAAGAGUUAGCCGCUCCUAAGGGAUAGCUGAAAAGUGUUUAAAAGGGGUUCCUUCCCCGUCUCAAAGGGAAACAGGUUGAUAUUCCUGUGCCAAUAGUAUUAUGAGUUUCUUAGAUGGUAACAUAUAUAUAAAUGAACUCCUUUACAUAGGCUUUACACUCGGGGUGCGUUUUCUUUGCACUUUACCUUUAUAACAAACCUUGGAAUCAAUUUACUUGGAGAAGAGGUUCGUUGAACUCAAUUCAAAAAAUUUCUUGAACGGGGUUUUCGGAUUCAGUUCAUUUUAUUUUUUGUUUUGUAGCAAUAGUAAUUCGUUUUUAUGAAUUAUCCGAAGUGGUAAGGACUAUCCUUGAAAAAAGGAGGGAACGGCUUUGUAAACUUGGUUUCUUCUGAUUCCAUUUUGCUUUGCUAUACUCUUAAUACUUGUAUGAGCGUACCAACAACCGCAUCAGGUCUCCAAGGUUAACAGCCUCUGGUUAAAUAGAAAAAAGUAGGUAAGGGAAGUCGGCAAAAUAGAUCCGUAACUUCGGGAAAAGGAUUGGCUCUGAGGACAUUAGAAAAGAGAAGAAAAAAAGAGGGUCGAAAAUAAAAUUGCAGUCUUUAUUUGCUUUUCUUUCGAUUUGCUUGUAAUCUGCUUUUUCUUUUUCUUCUUUCUUUUUUUCUCCCCCUCUUUUCGCCUUCACUUUAUUGUAAUUUUAUUACUUUAAUUUGAUACCUAUAAUGUUAACUCAGAACUGAAACGGACAAGGGGAAUCCGACUGUUUAAUUAAAACAUAGCAUUGUGAAAAGCCACAACUGGUAUUAACACAAUGUGAUUUCUGCCCAGUGCUUUGAAUGUCAACUUGAUGAAAUUCAAUCAAGCGCAGGUAAACGGCGGGAGUAACUAUGACUCUCUUAAGGUAGCCAAAUGCCUCGUCAUCUAAUUAGUGACGCGCAUGAAUGGAUUAACGAGAUUCCCACUGUCCCUACUUGCUAUCUAGCGAAACCACAGCCAAGGGAACGGGCUUGGCAAAAUCAGCGGGGAAAGAAGACCCUGUUGAGCUUUACUCUAGUCUGGCUUUGUGAAACGACUUAAGAGGUGUAGCAUAAGUGGGAGUAGAAACUGAAAUAUGUUUUUACGACAGUGAAAUACCACUACUUUUAAAGUUGUUUUACUUAUCCAUUUAUAGGGAAAUAUAUUAUGCUUUAUCCUUCGGGAAGGCAUUCUGAUAUUAUUUGAAUUUUUAAGAAACUUGUUUCUUAUUUUUCUCCCAUUUCUAUGGAGACAUAGCCAGGUGGGGAGUUUGACUGGGGCGGUACAUCUGUUAAAAAAUAACGCAGAUGUCCAAAGACAAGCUCAAUGAGAACAGAAAUCUCUUGUAGACUAAAAGGGGAAAAGCUUGUUUGAUUUCUAUUUUCAGAAAGAAUAGAAAACGUG
rnacentral:rRNA from 1 species